rnacentral:rRNA from 1 species
GCCUAUGGCCAUACCAGUCUGAAAGUGCCUGAUCUCGUCAGAUCUCAGAAGUCAAGCAGACUUGGGCCUGCUUAGUACUUGUAUGGGAGAUCAACUAGGAAUCUCAGGUGCCGUAAGCU